CCUACGGGAGGCAGCAGUGAGGAAUAUUGGUCAAUGGACGAGAGUCUGAACCAGCCAAGUAGCAUGAAGGAUGACUGCCCUAUGGGUUGUAAACUUCUUUUAUAUGGGAAUAAAAUGUUCCACGUGUGGGAUUUUGUAUGUACCAUAUGAAUAAGGAUCGGCUAACUCCGUGCCAGCAGCCGCGGUAAUACGGAGGAUCCGAGCGUUAUCCGGAUUUAUUGGGUUUAAAGGGAGCGUAGGUGGAUUGUUAAGUCAGUUGUGAAAGUUUGCGGCGCAACCGUAAAAUUGCAGUUGAAACUGGCAGUCUUGAGUACAGUAGAGGUGGGCGGAAUUCGUGGUGUAGCGGUGAAAUGCUUAGAUAUCACGAAGAACUCCGAUUGCGAAGGCAGUUCACUGGACUGCAACUGACACUGAGGCUCGAAAGUGUGGGUAUCAAACAGGAUUAGAUACCCUUGUAGUC
rnacentral:rRNA from 1 species